rnacentral:rRNA from 1 species
GCAUAAUAAGUUAACGAUUAUAUAUCAUAUUAAUUAUAUUUUUUCAACCAAUAACUAAUUAAUAUAAUAUACGUACAACUAUAUAUAUAGUUAUAUGCGCGCUAUAAUCUAGCUAGCUAACGUACUACGUAUAUAGCUUAUAUUAAUCUAUAUAUAAUAUAUAUACUAUUAAUUAAUUAACUUUAACGUACUACCUAGCUUAAUUAAACCAUUAACUAGCGCGCUUAUAGAUUACCAAUUAGCUUAAUCUAGCUAGCUAACAUGUUUUAACUAUUUAUAAUAUAUAUUAUUAAUUAUUAACUAAUUAACCAAUUACCUUACAAAUACGUACGUUAACAAUACAAUACAAUACGUACAACAAGCUAGUAAUGAAGCUACCUAAGAUCGUCGAAAACUAUGUAUUCGCUGGAAUAUUUCACCGGAUUUACGUACGUAUGUACGAUAUUAAAUUCAAAUAAAUGAUUCGUGGGAAACAAGUAAAUACUUACCUUCACCUAGAAGGAGAGCAGAGGUUGAUAAAAAAUUGCAAUCAAUAUUUCGUGAUCAUUUUUUCCUGGUCGGGAUCGCUCUGCUGGGUAGAGUGAGAAGAGAAGGAGAGAAGUUGAGAGGAGAAGGUGAGAUAGCCCGAGGGGAAAUAAACUGAUUGAGCUAAUAAUUGAUCAGUUUCGUUGUCUAAGAGGUCACGUAAGCGACGAAAUAAGUGUUUCGUUGUCUAAAGUAUAACUUAGGUGACCAAGAGAAUGUUUGUCGCCUAAGUAAACUUUAGGCAAUGAAACUGUAAUGAUUUCGUUGCCUAAGAAGACUUUUCUAGUUGUGGGGAGUCUGGAGACGUCGGUGGAGGCCUCGGAAAGAGUUAUCUUUUCGGUUUAACAGCCUGCCUACCCUGGAAAAGGCUCAGCCAGAGGUAGGGUCUAGCAGCUGGAAGAGCACCGCACGUUCCGUGGUGUACGGUGGGCCCCCGAUGACCCUUGAAAAUCUGGAGGGCCGAGUGCCAUUCACGCCCGGUCGUAUUUAUAACCGCAUCAGGUCUCCAAGGUGAACAGCCUCUGGUCGAUGGAACAAUGUAGGCAAGGGAAGUCGGUCAAAUAGAUCCAUAACCUCGGGAAAAUGAUUGGCUCUGAGGGCUGGGCAUGGGGGUCCCAGUCCCGAACCUGUCGGCUGUCGACAAACAGCUCGAGCUGCUUCUGCGGUGAGAGCGAGUUGUCGGGUGCCGGCCGGGGGACGAACUGGGAACGCUCAUUCGAGAGCUAUCCCCGAGCGUUAAACAAUUAACUCAGAACUAGUACAGAUAAGGGGAAUCUAACUAUUUAAUUAAAACAAAGCAUUGCGAUGAUCUCUGCGGAUGUUAACGCAAUGUAAUUUCUGCCCAGUGCUCUGAAUGUCAAAGUGAAGAAAUUUAACAAAGCGCGGGUAAACGGCAGGAGUAACUAUGACUCUCUUAAGGUAGCCAAAUGCCUCGUCAUCUAAUUACUGACGUGCAUGAAUGGAUUAAUGAUAUUCCCACUGUCUCUGUCUACUAUACAGCGAAACCACAGCCAAGGGAACAGGCUUGGUAGAAUUAGCAGGGAAAGAAGACCCUGUUGAGCUUGACUCUAGUCCAACUUUGUGAAAUGACUUGAGAGGUGUAGUAUAAGUGGGAGUCAUAUGGUGAUAGUGAAAUACCACUACUUUUAACAUUAUUUUACUUAUUUCGUGAAUCGGAGGCGGGGCACUACCCCUCUUUUUGGACCCAAAGCCUGCUUCGACGGGCUAAUCUGGGUGGAAGACAUUAUCAGGUAGGGAGUUUGGCUGGGGCGGCACAUCUGUUAAAAGAUAAUGCAGGCGUCCUAAAGUGAGCUCAACGAGAACAGAAAUCUCAUGUGGAACAAAAGCGUAAAAGCUCAUUUGAUUCUGAUGUCCAGUAUGAAUACAAACCGUGAAAGCGUGGCCUAUCGAUCCUUUAAACCUUUAGAAUUUAAAGCUAGAGGUGUCAGAAAAGUUACCACAUGGAUAACUGGCUUGUGGCAGCCAAGCGUUUAUAGCGACGUUGCUUUUUUAUCCUUCGAUGCCAGCUCUUCCUAUCAUUGUGAAGUAGAAUUCACUAAGUGUUGGAUUGUUCACCCACCAAUAGGGAACGUGAGCUGGGUUUAGAUUGUCGUGAGACAGGUUAUUUUUACCCUGUUGAUGACAGUGGCACGAAGCUACCGUGUGCUAGAUUAUGACUAAACGCCUCUAAGUCAGAAUAUGGGCUAGAAGCGAUGCAUGCGCCCACCGUCUGAUUAUCGACCCGCAGUAGGGGCCAUUGGCCCCCAAAGGCAUGUGCCGUAGGUCAAGUCUUCAUGGCGGACAAGCUGCGAGGGCUUCCUUGAAUUAUAAUUUCUACCGAGUGACGGGUAGAAUCCUUUUCAGAUGACUUAAAUACGUGACAAGGUAUUAUAAGUGGUAGAGUGGCCUUGCUGCGACGAUCCACUAAGAUUUAACUCUACGUCGCUUCGAUUCUU